rnacentral:lncRNA from 1 species
GUUUAACAUUCAUAACACCACUUAUCAUGUAGACAUCAUUUACUGCCCUAAUUUACAGUGAACUGGAGCUCCGAGAGUCACGUUGAUUUAACCACAGUCCCAGGCUACCAAGUGUCCAAGCUGUGCUGCUUCCAAGCUGCCUGACCCAGACCUGAGCUCUUAACCUCUCAAUGGGCAUCCAGGUCGAAAGCAGAAUCUCUGGCUCAAGUGCCGACUGCCCAGCUGUUUCAGAACUCCACCAUGCACCCAACUGCUCCUCCAGGACUUCCCUACGGAUGUGUUGCAGGCUCUGAAACGUCACACAUCCACGCCGCAUCCUCAUCCCACACAUGCUCCUGCUUGUCCCUGGCAUCUGCCAUUCUCAGUGCCAUUCACUAGCCUAUAUGAUGCCUUCGAAUCAGAGGAAGUUACCUCUCCCUCCAGGGAUACGGGCCCACACCUGGUCUCAGGGACCCUUUAGUGGAGGCACAGUCUAUAUAGCCCAGAGCAGUGCCCCUGAUGCCAUCGUCUUCCAAUUUGCUCAGAGCAGACACUGGGAUUCAUCCUUAAUAUCUCUCUCUUCUCUCUCUCUCUCUCUCUCUCUCUCUCGCGGAGGCCCCACUGCCCUUGCAUUCCACAGGAAGUCCCAGUUGCUGGCAUGACCUGAGAGGUUCCUGGGACCACGCCAUGGAAAUGCGUCCGGUCCCAGUGUGACGGGGAAGAGCCGCGCCUGAAGCUCAACUUCCGAGGCUCUCAUCAAUCUACGCUUCCUUUGGAGCGUGCAGCCACCAGGUGGCAGCCGAGGCCACGGGCAGACAGAAAAGCUCCCGAAACUGAAGGACUGCCAGGCAGCAGAGUUCCGGAGGGCUCCCAGGACCUUCAACCAGAAAGAGACAGAGCAUAUGCGCAUAUCCCUGCAAGGAAUGUACUAUAGAGCCAAUUUUACCGGCAAAGGAAUGGAAGAUCUGAAAGGCUAGGCGAUCCCACAAGCAUCGAGGAGCAGGCUGGAAUUUGAACCAAUCGGCAUGAUUCCCAAGCUCAAGCUUUUGGCCACCCCUGCACUGCCAGGGACAAAAAAAAAAAAAAAAAAAAACCCUGGGAGGAGAGCCAAGCUAGGGAGUCAAGACCCUCCAGCCAGGUCUGGAUGGGAGGCAGGUGCCUCCACCCUGGUCCCAGAGCAAGUUCUGCUGGCUUCAGCCACCUGACUUCCCUGUGAAGGUGGGUAGAGGCCAGAGCAGACUGUGUGUGAUUCUGGCCCCAGCCCCAGCACCUCUACCCCCACCUUUACUACCCCUAGGCUGCGGGAAGAGGCUUUGCCCAGCAAUAGUCCUGAUCUAAUGGAUCCUUGAAGCACAAUAAACAGAUAGUAUUUCUGCAUGUGUCACUCUGAGUAUGACGGCAGUAAUCUUGAAACUCCC